rnacentral:rRNA from 1 species
AAACUAACAAGGAUUCCCCUAGUAACGGCGAGUGAACCGGGAAGAGCUCAAAUUUGAAAUCUGGCGUGCUCAGUGCGUCCGAGUUGUAAUCUAUAGAGGCGUUUUCCGUGCCGGACUGUGUCCAAGUCCCUUGGAACAGGGUAUCAAAGAGGGUGAUAAUCCCGUACUUGACACAAUGACCGGUGCUCUGUGAUACGUCUUCUACGAGUCGAGUUGUUUGGGAAUGCAGCUCAAAAUGGGUGGUGAGUUCCAUCUAAAGCUAAAUAUUGGCGAGAGACCGAUAGCGAACAAGUACCGUGAGGGAAAGAUGAAAAGCACUUUGGAAAGAGAGUUAAACAGUACGUGAAAUUGUUGAAAGGGAAACGAUUGAAGUCAGUCGUGACUGAGAGGCUCAGCCGGUUCUGCCGGUGUAUUCCCCUCAGUCGGGUCAACAUCAGUUUUGUUCGGUGGAUAAGGGCAGUUGGAAGGUGGCACCCUCGGGUGUGUUAUAGCCAGCUGUCGCAUACAUCGGAUGAGACUGAGGAAUGCAGCU